AGUUAUUCCCUGGGGGCUGCCUGUCUUGAAAAUAGGCUUAAAGUGUUCGAUUCACUUGGUAACUU
rnacentral:tRNA from 2 species